UUUAAUUGAAGAGUUUGAUCAUGGCUCAGAUUGAACGCUGGCGGCAGGCUUAACACAUGCAAGUCGAGCGGUAGCACAGGGGAGCUUGCUCCCUGGGUGACGAGCGGCGGACGGGUGAGUAAUGUCUGGGAAACUGCCUGAUGGAGGGGGAUAACUACUGGAAACGGUAGCUAAUACCGCAUAACGUCGCAAGACCAAAGAGGGGGACCUUCGGGCCUCUUGCCAUCAGAUGUGCCCAGAUGGGAUUAGCUAGUAGGUGGGGUAAUGGCUCACCUAGGCGACGAUCCCUAGCUGGUCUGAGAGGAUGACCAGCCACACUGGAACUGAGACACGGUCCAGACUCCUACGGGAGGCAGCAGUGGGGAAUAUUGCACAAUGGGCGCAAGCCUGAUGCAGCCAUGCCGCGUGUGUGAAGAAGGCCUUCGGGUUGUAAAGCACUUUCAGCGAGGAGGAAGGUGGUGAGCUUAAUACGCUCAUCAAUUGACGUUACUCGCAGAAGAAGCACCGGCUAACUCCGUGCCAGCAGCCGCGGUAAUACGGAGGGUGCAAGCGUUAAUCGGAAUUACUGGGCGUAAAGCGCACGCAGGCGGUUUGUUAAGUCAGAUGUGAAAUCCCCGGGCUCAACCUGGGAACUGCAUUUGAAACUGGCAAGCUAGAGUCUCGUAGAGGGGGGUAGAAUUCCAGGUGUAGCGGUGAAAUGCGUAGAGAUCUGGAGGAAUACCGGUGGCGAAGGCGGCCCCCUGGACGAAGACUGACGCUCAGGUGCGAAAGCGUGGGGAGCAAACAGGAUUAGAUACCCUGGUAGUCCACGCUGUAAACGAUGUCGAUUUGGAGGUUGUGCCCUUGAGGCGUGGCUUCCGGAGCUAACGCGUUAAAUCGACCGCCUGGGGAGUACGGCCGCAAGGUUAAAACUCAAAUGAAUUGACGGGGGCCCGCACAAGCGGUGGAGCAUGUGGUUUAAUUCGAUGCAACGCGAAGAACCUUACCUACUCUUGACAUCCAGAGAACUUUCCAGAGAUGGAUUGGUGCCUUCGGGAACUCUGAGACAGGUGCUGCAUGGCUGUCGUCAGCUCGUGUUGUGAAAUGUUGGGUUAAGUCCCGCAACGAGCGCAACCCUUAUCCUUUGUUGCCAGCGGUUCGGCCGGGAACUCAAAGGAGACUGCCAGUGAUAAACUGGAGGAAGGUGGGGAUGACGUCAAGUCAUCAUGGCCCUUACGAGUAGGGCUACACACGUGCUACAAUGGCAUAUACAAAGAGAAGCGACCUCGCGAGAGCAAGCGGACCUCAUAAAGUAUGUCGUAGUCCGGAUUGGAGUCUGCAACUCGACUCCAUGAAGUCGGAAUCGCUAGUAAUCGUAGAUCAGAAUGCUACGGUGAAUACGUUCCCGGGCCUUGUACACACCGCCCGUCACACCAUGGGAGUGGGUUGCAAAAGAAGUAGGUAGCUUAACCUUCGGGAGGGCGCUUACCACUUUGUGAUUCAUGACUGGGGUGAAGUCGUAACAAGGUAACCGUAGGGGAACCUGCGGUUGGAUCACCUCCUUACCUAAAGA
rnacentral:rRNA from 1 species